UACGUAGGGAGCAAGCGUUGUCCGGAAUCAUUGGGCGUAAAGCGCGCGUAGGUGGCUUCGUAAGUCCGCUGUGAAAGUCAAAGGCUCAACCUUUGAAAGCCGGUGGAUACUGCGGAGCUAGAGUCCGGAAGAGGCGAAGUGGAAUUCCUGGUGUAGCGGUGGAAUGCGCAGAUAUCAGGAGGAACACCAAUAGCGAAGGCAGCUCGCUGGGACGGUACUGACACUGAGGCGCGAAAGCGUGGGGAGCGAACAGG
rnacentral:rRNA from 1 species